rnacentral:misc_RNA from 1 species
GAUGAAGAACGUAGCGAAAUGCGAUAAGUAAUGUGAAUUGUAGAAUUCAGUGAAUCAUCGAAUCUUUGAACGCACAUUGCGCCCAUCAGUAUUCUGUUGGGCAUGCCUGUCCGAGCGUCAUUUCAACCCUCAGGGCCCGUUCGCGGGAACUGGUGUUGGGGAUCGGCCUCCCCCCGGAGGCCGGCCCCGAAAUGCAGUGGCGGCUCUACCGCGAUCUCCUCUGUGUAGUAGCGAUACCUCGCAGCUGGAUAGUGGUGGUGCCACGCCGUAAAAUCCCAACUUUACCAAGGUUGACCUCGGAUCAGGUAGGAAUACCCGCUGAACUUAAGCAUAUCAAUAAGCGGGGA